AUCUGUACUUUACUAUUUAUAUUUUUUGACAACUUUUAUUUUUACCUCGGUACAUUCCAAAAGAAAAUAAUGUACUUUUUAUUCUCAUAUAUUUCCCCCUGACAUCCAAAAGUACUCGUUACAUUUAGCAUUCUCAAGCAGGACAGCAGUAUGGUCCCAUUCACACACUUAUCAAGAGCAGGUGUUGUCAUCCCUACUGCCUCUGAUCUGGAGGACUCACUAAACAGAGAACAUCCCUGGUCAUCCCUACUGCCUCUGAUCUGGAGGACUCACUAAACAGAGAACAUCCCUGGUCAUCUCUACUGCCUCUGAUCUGGAGGACUCACUAAACAGAGAACAUCCCUGGUCAUCCCUCCUGCCUCUGAUCUGGAGGACUCACUAAACAGAGAACAUCCCUGGUCAUCCCUACUGCCUCUGAUCUGGAGGACUCACUAAACAGAGAACAUCCCUGGUCAUCCCUACUGCCUCUGAUCUGGAGGACUCACUAAACAGAGAACAUCCCUGGUCAUCCCUACUGCCUCUGAUCUGGAGGACUCACUAAACAGAGAACAUCCCUGGUCAUCCCUACUGCCUCUGAUCUGGAGGACUCACUAAACAGAGAACAUCCCUGGUCAUCCCUACUGCCUCUGAUCUGGAGGACUCACUAAAAACACACACAGUGCGUUUGUAAAUCUCUUCUGAUUGUUGGAGUGUGUUGGGGUGUGUUGGGGGGUGCCCCUGGCUAUCCGUAAAUUUAAAAAAACUUAAGAGAAAAUCAUACCGUCAGGAAUUUGAUUUAUAUUCUGUACUUUACUUAGUACUUUUUCCCACCAUUGUACUUAAAGUACAUUUUAAAAACAGAUACUUUUACUCAAGUAGUAUUUUACUGGGUCAUUUUCACUUAUACUCAAGUCAUUUUCUAUUACGGUAUCUUUCCUUUGACUCAAAUGGAACAUUUCAGUGGUUGUUUCUGCUAUAAACACACUAUUAUGUUUUCUGAUUUAAAAACAAAAAUAAACAAAGAAAAUUCAUAUUAAUGUUAUAAAUGUUUUUGUAUAAUUGUAUUACAUUGACAUUUUAUCCAUAAAGAUAUGCAAACAAUUGAACUAUUUAAAUAUUAAGAUACUAUUUAAACAGAUUCGACCGCACAUUAUGAUUAUUUGCGAAGACCCCCUUUGUUUUGUGUCAGAAUAAUCCUGUAGGUCUGUGCUGUGUCAUUUUCCUCAUGCUGUAGGUCUGUGCUGUGUCGUGAGUCGCUGUUUCCAUCUGUAGGUUUUUACCCCAUUGACAUCCAUUAAUUUCUUUAAGUGGUGUGUAUAGGAUCAUUGUAUAGGACAAGAAGGGAGUAUGAUAUUCCUGACACGUGUACUCUGAAUGAGUGGUUUUUUUGGAACAAGUGUGUGGAGCUGUUUUCAAGUGUCAUGUACUACAGGAUUGUCUUUUUCUUUUAGGCCUAUGUUAUCUUUACAAAUUAAAAGUCCGUAGUUAAAUGUACUUAAAUGUUUAAUAACUCUCUCUACCAUGAUGAUGUGAGAAAAGCCAAACGAAACACUAUAUCAAUGAAUCUGAUUAUUACAUUGUGCGUGGCUCGUUAUUGUCUCGCAGUGAGACCUGGCUCAGCCAUGUUCUUUGUGUUAGAACGUGCAUGUUGGGUGAUGGGUACUGUGUCUUCUAUGGUUGUAUGGUUGUCUAAGGCUGUGCUAACUGUCUGUGGCUAGUUCAUCUGUUCACAUACAAACCAGUGGCAGUACAGGAGCAAAUUGUUAUCCAGUAGAGCUGAAGUCUGUACGGUCAUCACCAGGCCCUAACCAAGGUAGAGAGGGGGUCUGAACUCAUGCUGAAGGCUCUACGGUCAUCACCAGGCCCUAACCAAGGUAGAGAGGGGGUCUGAACCCAUGCUGAAGUCUUUACGGUCAUCACCAGGCCCUAACCAAGGUAGAGAGAGGGUCUGAACCCAUGCUGAAGUCUGUACGGUCAUCACCAGGCCCUAACCAAGGUAGAGAGAGGGUCUGAACCCAUGCUGAAGUCUGUACGGUCAUCACCAGGCCCUAACCAAGGUAGAGAGAGGGUCUGAACCCAUGCUGAAGUCUGUACGGUCAUCACCAGGCCCUAACCAAGGUAGAGAGAGGGUCUGAACCCAUGCUGAAGUCUGUACGGUCAUCACCAGGCCCUAACCAAGGUAGAGAGAGGGUCUGAACCCAUGCUGAAGGCUGUACGGUCACCACCAGGCCCUAACCAAGGUAGAGAGGGGGUCUGAACCCAUGCUGAAGGCUUUACGGUCACCACCAGGCCCUAACCAAGGUAGAGAGGGGGUCUGAACCCAUGCUGAAGGCUUUACGGUCACCACCAGGCCCUAACCAAGGUAGAGAGGGGGUCUGAACCCAUGCUGAAGGCUUUACGGUCACCACCAGGCCCUAACCAAGGUAGAGAGGGGGUCUGAACCCAUGCUGAAGGCUUUACGGUCACCACCAGGCCCUAACCAAGGUAGAGAGGGGGUCUGAACCCAUGCUGAAGGCUUUACGGUCACCACCAGGCCCUAACCAAGGUAGAGAGAGGGUCUGAACCCAUGCUGAAGGCUUUACGGUCAUCACCAGGCCCUAACCAAGGUAGAGAGAGGGUCUGAACCCAUGCUGAAGGCUGUACGGUCACCACCAGGCCCUAACCAAGGUAGAGAGGGGGUCUGAACCCAUGCUGAAGGCUUUACGGUCACCACCAGGCCCUAACCAAGGUAGAGAGGGGGUCUGAACCCAUGCUGAAGGCUUUACGGUCACCACCAGGCCCUAACCAAGGUAGAGAGAGGGUCUGAACCCAUGCUGAAGGCUUUACGGUCAUCACCAGGCCCUAACCAAGGUAGAGAGGGGGUCUGAACCCAUGCUGAAGGCUCUACGGUCAUCACCAGGCCCUAAUCAACGUAGAGAGGGGGUCUGAACUCAUGCUGAAGUCUGUACCGUUUGCACCAGGCCCUAACCAAGGUAGAGAGGGGGUCUGAACCCUUGCUGAAGGCUCUACGGUCAUCACCAGGCCCUAACCAAAGUAGAGAGGGGGUCUGAACCCAUGCUGAAGGCUUUACGGUCAUCACCAGGCCCUAACCAACGUAGAGAGGGGGUCUGAACCCAUGCUGAAGGCUCUACGGUCAUCACCAGGCCCUAACCAAAGUAGAGAGGGGGUCUGAACCCAUGCUGAAGGCUUUACGGUCAUCACC